AUGACCUUUAAAGACACAGAGCAAGACUUCACGUUGCGGCUGUUGAGGGUGAUCCUAAUCCGGUGAAUGGCCACCUCUGGCUCCACGGGAGUCUUGCCGGCGUCUUUAAAGGCCAUGGAAGCAGCG